rfam:Macrophomina phaseolina MS6 contig00418, whole genome shotgun sequence.
GCCCCUUUAGCUCAGUGGUAGAGCGCGACACUAGUAAUGUCGAGGCCAUCGGUUCGACUCCGAUAGGGGGCA